AAUAUCCAAAAGACUUGCCCUAGAGGAAAUCAAGGUCUAAGUCAAGAGAUCAGGCACGGGUCCAAGAAAAACCCUCGUAGUUCGUUUUGCCGCUCUGCUGUUUCGUACCUCUGUGGGUUUCAUCAUUCCCUCAGGCCCGUCACCCUCUGUCACAGCGCCUCAGGGCAGGCGGGCGGGCUAGGAGAAAAAAGGGAUGUGAAUGAGAUUCUGAGAUUAAGAGGAAGACCUUAAUUACCUGCAGCUUGACUAAUCACAGCUCUCUAUUACUGAGAAUCUUCUACCACAUCUUUAGAAAGAAGAAAACUGCAACCAAAUAAGGUGUCACGACGGAUUCACUCGAAAAAUCAAUUUCCGAAGUCUGCGACAGAGUAUCAGCCCACUGGCUACUCUCUCGACGGCAUCCGGAUACAGCCAGGAAUCCACUGUGAGGCAGGGAUCAUCUUAUCCUGCUGAUUGCCCUUUGAUGAAUAAAAUAUAGGAGCAAUCAACAAUAAUAAUAUUAACAGAGUGGAUGCGCACAAGUGCCGAAGUCCUGAACUACAACAAGCCAAGGAUAUUGCAAUUCUCCAUUUGUUUCUGAUCAGAAAUCAUAACACCUCGUCGAAUAUUUCUGAUGAAUGUUUGAGGUUUGGGGAAGACGGAAUAGCGCAGUGGUAAGAAGAGCAGAUGUUGGUGUCAGGCUACCAGUGUUCCACGUGCAUCGUCUGUGUUACUGUGGAUAAGGAGACCCUAUGUGGACAGUAAGAAAGUCAAAGAGGACUGUCGUUAAGCUUAAAUGAGAUAACAGGUGUGAAAUACGUGGUACAUCACAAGCACUCAAUAAUUGCUAGCUAUUAUCAUGUUCCAUAGGAACAGCAAGAAGUAAAGUGUGCAGAACCCGAGUUUGCCAAGUGUUUUCACAUGCGUGUUCUGGGGUGAAGCAUGGUUCUUAAGAGUCAAACUUCUGGGGGCGCCUGGGUGGCUCAGACGGUUGGGCGUCUGCCUUCGGCUCCGGUCA